rnacentral:rRNA from 1 species
GAUGAACGCUGGCGGCGUGCCUAACACAUGCAAGUCGAACGGACUAGAAUGAAACCUAGUGAUUUUUAGUUAGUGGCGGACGGGUGAGUAACGCGUGGGCAACCUGCCUCAUACAGGGGGAUAACACUUAGAAAUAGGUGCUAAUACCGCAUAAGCGCACGGAAUCGCAUGAUUUUGUGCGAAAAACUCCGGUGGUAUGAGAUGGACCCGCGUCUGAUUAGCUAGUUGGUGGGGUAACGGCCUACCAAGGCGACGAUCAGUAGCCGGCCUGAGAGGGUGACCGGCCACAUUGGGACUGAGACACGGCCCAAAUCCUACGGGAGCAGCAGUGGGGAAUAUUGGGCAAAUGGGGGGAAACCCUGGACCCCAGCAACGCCGCGUGAAGGAAGAAGGCCUCGGGUUGUAA